AUCAACGGAAAGCUUUUGGCUAGGGUUUGGUUAGGGUUUGGACUUCCCGCUUUCUUGUUCUUUUGAUGGGGUUUAGAACCCUUUUCUUCUGUUUUUCUUGGAGAUAAUGAGGUUCUUUUUUGAUGGAAGACUGAUGAGCAGCUGAGGGUUUUCAGUGAUCUUCACAGAUUCGCUGAUCUGGUCGGAGUCAAACCUUAUAAUGCUAUUCUGGUUAGAUAAAAAUCGGUUGAGAAUGUCUGCAGACCGUCUCAUGUCAGCUUUGAUGCAAAACAUAUCUUUGGCCAAUAGCAUUCAGUAAUGUUCUGCAUAACACAUUUGCUAGCGUUAUAUAUUGUUUGGGACACAGUGUGGGUACUCCUCUUUCAACUAUUUCUAGGUGAAUGCUGUCCAUUACAUCUCCUUCACAUGAGAUGGGUGAUUUGCAGAUGUCUCA
rnacentral:miRNA from 1 species